rnacentral:lncRNA from 1 species
AUGUGUCUAACAGAAACCUGGCACCAGCCAGAGGUUUACUCUGCCCUAAACGAAGCCUGUCCCCCAGGCUACAGUUACUUGGAGGCAGCCCGCAGAACUGGACGCGGUGGUGGCCUAGCUGUCAUCCACAAUCAGGACCUGGAGUUGUCCCCCAUGGUGCUGCCUACAACUUCCUCCUGUGAAUGUCUUGCAUUCACAUGCAAGCCCCCCCAUCCCAUGACUGUUCUACUCAUAUACAGGCCCCCAAAACCCAACUCUGCUUUCAUCCCGGAAAUGUCUGAUCUCCUCACAACACUCUGUACUACCUCUGCCAAUACCAUCAUUCUGGGUGAUUUAAAUAUUCAUGUUGACACCCCCUCAUGCCAGCCCGCUGCUGAUUUUCUUCAGCUGCUAGACUCCCUCAACCUUCAACAACAUGUUGAUGCCCCCACACACUCCAGAGGGCACACAAUUGACCUGGUCAUCUCAAACUCCGCCCCCAUCAGCAACCUACAGGUCUAUGAUCUGGCGUCUCGGAUCACAGAGUUGUGUCAAUGGAGCUCCCUUUUCCUUCCUCCCACACCAAACCAAAGCGGCAGAUCCACAAAGCGGCAGAUCCACACGGGCAUCCACAACAUGGAUGCCCUGGCCCUGGACCUUCAACAUCUCUCCUCUGGCUCAACUGACUCCCUCUCUGUUGCUGACUCAGUGGACUUAUACAACCAGUCCCUGAGCAGUCUCCUGGAUCUCCACGCCCCCUUAACAUCGAGGUCAGUCUCAUUCUCGUGCUCCACACCCUGGUACACCAGUGAGCUACGUACAAUGAAGGCGGCUAGGCGUGUCCUUGAGCGGCGACUCAAGGCCUCUGGUCUGACCGUUUACAAACAGGCAUACAGGGAACACAGGAGGGCAUAUGCUGAAGCCCUGAAUAAUGCACGGUCCAGGUUCUAUUCCACAAUAAUCAACAAUAGCCCUGGUAACUCCAAACAGCUCUUUUCAACUAUCAAUCACCUUCUCAAACCCCCUUUACCAUCCCAAUCUGAUGUCACCACGGAGAGGUGCAACAUGCACAUCAAAUUUUUUAAACAAAAAGUGAAUAACAUCCGCUCACACCUCUCCACCACUACUGUCCUGCCCCUUCCAACUGCUGACCCACCGAUUGACUCUGUCCAGACCCUCUGCUCCUUCUCCAGCAUCACAAAGGAAGAGGUGGAGGACGUCAUCAGGAAAAUGAAGCCAUCCACCUGUGCACUAGACCCCUACCCUACAGCUCUGCUGAAGGCCAACAUCUCUGCUGUCUCUCCACUCAUCACCAAUAUCAUUAACCACUCCCUCCUGGCCUACCCUUGA